rnacentral:rRNA from 1 species
UGGGGGAAGUUUUCCGUCAAUGGGCGAAAGCCUGACGGAGCAAUGCCGCGUGGAGGUGGAAGGCCUACGGGUCGUCAACUUCUUUUCUCGGAGAAGAAACAAUGACGGUAUCUGAGGAAUAAGCAUCGGCUAACUCUGUGC